rnacentral:rRNA from 1 species
GACUAGAGUUUGAUCCUGGCUCAGAGCGAACGUUAGCGGCGCGCCUAACACAUGCAAGUCGCACGAGAAAGGGCUUCGGCCCCGGUACAGUGGCGCACGGGUGAGUAACACGUGGGUAACCUUCCCCGGAGUGGUGGAUAACCUGCCGAAAGGCGGGCUAAUACAGCAUACGACCGUUGGUCUUCGGACUGGCGGUGAAAGCAGGCCUCUAUAUAUAAGCUUGCGCUCCAGGUUGGGCCCGCGGCCCAUCAGCUAGUUGGCGAGGUAAUGGCUCACCAAGGCAACGACGGGUAGCUGGUCUGAGAGGAUGGCCAGCCACACUGGAACUGAGACACGGUCCAGACUCCUACGGGAGGCAGCAGUGGGGAAUCUUGCGCAAUGGACGAAAGUCUGACGCAGCGACGCCGCGUGGGCGACGAAGGCCUUCGGGUUGUAAAGCCCUGUGGGGAGGGACGAACACCGGCUGUUCAAAUAGGACAGUCGGCUGACGGUACCUCCUUAGCAAGCACCGGCUAACUCUGUGCCAGCAGCCGCGGUAA